rnacentral:rRNA from 1 species
UACGGAGGGUGCGAGCGUUAAUCGGAAUAACUGGGCGUAAAGGGCACGCAGGCGGGCUUUUAAGUGAGAUGUGAAAUCCCCGGGCUUAACCCGGGAAUUGCAUCUGAUACUGGUCAGCUAGAGUCUUGUAGAGGGGGGUAGAAUUCCAUGUGUAGCGGUGAAAUGCGUAGAGAUGUGGAGGAAUACCGAAGGCGAAGGCAGCCCCUUGGGAAUGUACUGACGCUCAUGUGCGAAAGCGUGGGGAGCAAACAGG